rnacentral:rRNA from 1 species
AUUGAACGCUAGCGGGAUGCCUUACACAUGCAAGUCGAACGGAAUGGCGAACGGGUGAGUCAUGUAUCGGAACGUACCCACUAGCUGGGGAUACCUACGCGCAAGCGUCGCUAAUUCCUCCUACUAGUGGAGCGGCCUAUAUAGGAUUAGCUAGUUGGUGGGGUAACGGCUCACCAAGGCGACGAUCCCUAGCUGGUUUGAGAGGACGACCAGCCACACUGGGACUGAGACACGGACCAGACUCCUACGGGAGGCAGCAGUGGGGAAUUUUGGACAAUGGGGGCAAGCCUGAUCCAGCCAUCCCGCGUGUGUGAAGAAGGCCUUCGGGUUGUAAAGCACUUUCGGCAGGAAAGCGGUACCUGCAGAAGAAGCACCGGCUAACUACGUGCCAGCAGCCGCGGUAAUUC